rnacentral:rRNA from 1 species
CCCCUAGAUGUUCUGGGCCGCACGCGCGCUACACUGAACAGUUCAACAAGUCUUAACCUUGGCCGAUAGGUCUGGGUAAUCUUUGAACGCUGUUCGUGAUUGGGAUAGACCUUUGCAAUUAUGGGUCUUCAACGAGGAAUUCCUAGUAAACGCAAGUCAUCAGCUUGCAUUGAUUACGUCCCUGCCCUUUGUACACACCGCCCGUCGCUCCUACCGAUUGAGUGUGUUGGUGAGGAGUUUGGAUUGGCCUCGGAAGGUGGUUCGCCACCGUCCGUAGCUGAGAAGUUCUCCAAACCGCCCCACUUAGAGGAAGGAGAAGUCGUAACA